rnacentral:piRNA from 1 species
UGUUAAAAUAUCUUCCUGCUGUAGA